rnacentral:rRNA from 1 species
CGUAGGGUGCGAGCGUUUAAAUCGGAAUUACUGGGCGUAAAGCGUGCGCAGGCGGUUUUGUAAGACAGAUGUGAAAUCCCCGGGCUCAACCUGGGACCUGCAUUUGUGACUGCAAGGCUAGAGUACGGUAGAGGGGGAUGGAAUUCCGCGUGUAGCAGUGAAAUGCGUAGAUAUGCGGAGGAACACCGAUGGCGAGGGCAAUCCCCUGGACCUGUACUGACGCUCAUGCACGAAAGCGUGGGGAGCAAACAGGAUUAGAUACCCUGGUAGUCCACGCCCUAAACGAUGUCAACUGGUUGUUGGGUCUUUACUGACUCAGUAACGAAGCUAACGCGUGAAGUUGACCGCCUGGGGAGUACGGCCGCAAGGUUG